UGAAUACGAGACGCUACGGCGUCGAAGCAGUCUAUGUCAUACUUCCAAGAAAAGCUCGCAAUGUCAUAAACAAAUAAUGCCUGUACCAUAACCGACACAGGUGGGUAGGUAGAGUAUACUAAGGGGCGCGAGAUAACUCUCUCUAAGGAACUCGGCAAAAUGACUCCGUAACUUCGGGGGAAGGAGUGCCUUAUUUAUAAGGUUGCAAUAACAAGAUCCAAGCAACUGUUUAUCAAAAACACAGGUCUCCGCUAAGUCGUAAGACGAUGUAUGGGGGCUGACGCCUGCCCAGUGCCAGAAGGUUAAAGAAGUUGGUUAGCAUUCGCGAAGCUGAUAACUGAAGCCCUGGUGAACGGCGGCCGUAACGAUAACGGUCCUAAGGUAGCGAAAUUCCUUGUCGGGUAAGUUCCGACCCGCACGAAAGGCGUAAUGAUUUGGAUACUGUCUCGGAGAGGGGCUCGGUGAAAUAGACUUGUCUGUGAAGAUGCGGACUACCUGCACCUGGACAGAAAGACCCUAUGAAGCUUUACUGUAACUUGAAAUUGAAAUUGGACUUUAUUUGCGCAGUAUAGGUGGGAGGCGUUGAGAGUAUUCUUGCGGGAAUAUUGGAGCCAUCAGUGAGAUACCACCCUUGUAAUGUUAGAUUUCUAACUUUGUAUCAUUAUCUGGUCAAAGAACAGUUUCAGGCGGGCAGUUUGACUGGGGCGGUCGCCUCCCAAAUGGUAACGGAGGCGUACAAAGGUUUCCUCUGAACGGGUAGAAAUCGUAUCUGGAGUGUAAAGGCAUAAGGAAGCUUGACUGUGAGACCUACAAGUCGAGCAGGGACGAAAGUCGGUCUUAGUGAUCUGACGGUGCUGAGUGGAAAGGCCGUCACUCAACGGAUAAAAGUUACUCUAAGGAUAACAGGCUGAUCUCCCCCAAGAGUUCACAUCGACGGGGAGGUUUGGCACCUCGAUGUCGGCUCAUCGCAUCCUGGGGCGGUAGUACGUCCCAAGGGUUGGGCUGUUCGCCCAUGAAAGCGGUACGCGAGCUGGGUUCAGAACGUCGUGAGACAGUUCGGUCCAUAUCCGGUGUAGGCGUUAGAAUAUUGAGAGGAGCCUUCUUUAGUACGAGAGGACCGAGAAGGACAUACCUCUGGUGUACCAGUUAUCGUGCCAACGGUAAACGCUGGGUAGCUAUGUAUGGUGAGGAUAACCGCUGAAAGCAUCUAAGUGGGAAGCCCACCUCAAGAUAAGUAUUCUC
rnacentral:rRNA from 1 species